UGCCAUUGGCUCCAUGCCGGAUCCCGGGCGAAGGGACCAAUGGUAGGUGAGGAAACAGAGAUCCUAACCUCUCCGCGAUUCGUGCCGUUCGUGUGUUCACCGAGCGCGACGGCCGACGUUGGACUCGGCGCGCUCGUUUCUCUCGCCGGAGCGUUGCCUAGUCGGGUUUCACCACGUCCCGUUAAAUCCACCCGCCACCGUCCGUAGCUGCAUCAGGAAAUAUCUCAUAACUUCGAUAAUGAGAGGACCGAUUUGCGGAUGCCGGCGCGCGAAAAUAUUCAAAAAUACAAAAGGAAAAUAAAGCACGCUACAACCGCAAAAGAAAGGAACCUAAAAGAUUCCGCGAGGGAGAUUUAGUAGUCAUUAAGAGAACACAACGGGGACCGGCCUCAAAUUCGCUUCACAAUAUCUCGGACCAUAUGAAAUAAUUAGAGUUCUUCGGGGUGACCGCUACGUGGUACGUAAAAUAGGGGAACAUGAAGGGCCGGCUCAGACCUCGACAACGGUGGAUUGUUUGAAGCCGUGGUUCGAUUAUGAUAGCGAUGACGUACAUAACGAAGAGUCUGAUAACUGUAUAGGACCCGUCAGUAACGUAUUGAAAUUUACUUGUAAUCAAACAUUCGGGGCGAAUGUCGAUGCAGGAUGGCCGAGUGUAGGGAUUGGGUUUAGCGCGUUGCCUGGCAAGUGCGAGAGGUCGUGUCUGUUGACACCGUGCGAGCGAUCGGGCUGACGAGGAGGCGAGCGAGCACAAGAAACACGAUAGAUAAUUGUAACGACCUAACGAGUGAACUCGCGGAUGUGUGAUCGACGCGACAAUCUUUUGUGACUAAUAAAUCGAACACUUGUAUACAGU